rnacentral:rRNA from 1 species
UCGAGAAUCUUCGGCAAUGGGCGCAAGCCUGACCGAGCGACGCCGCGUGCGGGAUGAAGGCCUUCGGGUUGUAAACCGCUGUCGGGAGGGAUGCAGAGCUCCGGAGGAAGCACGGGCUAAGUUCGUGCCAGCAGCCGCGGUAAUACGAACUGUGCGAACGUUAUUCGGAAUCACUGGGCUUAAAGGGUGCGUAGGCGGGCUGUAAAGUCAGGUGUGAAAGCCCUCGGCUCAACCGAGGAAUUGCGCUUGAAACUGCAGUGCUUGAGUGAGGUAGGGGUGCAUGGAACUUCCGGUGGAGCGGUGAAAUGUGUAGAUAUCGGAAGGAACGCCGGCGGCGAAAGCGGUGCACUGGGCCUUGUCUGACGCUGAGGCACGAAAGCUAGGGUAGCGAACGGGA